CGCCUCCUCCCGCACUCCCGCACUCGCGCAUCCCAGCUCCUCCCCUACGCCGCCUCCUCCCAUUCCCUAACCCUAGCUGCUGCCCACGCCGCCGCCGUCUCCGUCGCCUAGCCGGCCACCGCGCACGCUCCCUGCCACGCCGCCGCCUCUGCUCGCCUUCGCAACCCCGCAGCAUCUCCUCCCCACCCCCUCGGCACUCAGCAGGAGGAGCGCGGGCGCGGCUCGCGACGGCCCUCACGAGAGAGGUCUCUGCUCUCGGUCAACUCUACCCGCCUCCAUCACCACCCAUCGGCAGGAGGCCCCCGCCACUCCUCCUUCUGCUCCAUCGCGUGGCCAUCACCGAGGCCUCGCCGCGGUCUUGAGGCUGCGAUCCCGUAUGGGGCAGGACGACACCACGCUUGGUGGUGUGAGAUGGCUGCAAAUGCAGAGCACUUCCCAUCUCAUAAGGCAGCAAUCUUCCUGUUCUGUUCUACGCUUGAGUUUGUAUAGGAUACUGUGAUUGGAAACUGCUGGAUCUUGGGUCCCAACUGCAGGAAAUGAUUCCAGAGAAAUAGACUGAGCAGGCAGGAGGAGAAAGUAGAGAGGGAGAUGGGGGAGGGAGAGGAGAUCUCGGCCUGCACAUUGCGUCUCCCACAAGCUACUGCAAAGGGAGAAUUGUAUACCCAACAUCCUUUUCAAAGCCUACAGCAACUGCCUCCCCCACCAAUGCCAACCUGCGGCACCAAGGUCGAUGGUGGAGCUGUGUUAUAAAGUUGGAGUGUGCCCUUUCUUUGGUGCCAUCGUUCUCUCCUUCAUGACCGUCGUCGUCAUGAGCCCAAGUAUCUUUGCUGGGUAUCGUCGGCAUUGGUGGACCUAAUAGGUCCGUCAUACAUCUCCUCUGCUUUUUUCGAUAUGGUCAGAUAGGGUUUGUACAUCUACAUUUUUACUAUCAUAUAUGUUACCUGUGGUAUUGCCGUUCACCUGACAAUCAUUGACAUCAUAUGGUUGUUCUGUGCUUCGUGGUGUUACUAAAAUCUUUAGGAUGCCCUCACUGGUCAGCAUGGUUAGCUUCAGAUACAUAUUAUAGAAAGUCUAGGUACCCUGAUAGCUUUGCCCUUUUAUGCUAUUUUUGUUAAGUGGUGGUGGUAAAGAACUGGGAUUAUCUUUGCCAUGUGCGACCAGCUAAAGGCAGCAAGUUCAGUAAUCGUUCCUCUGUAAUGAUAAUAUUCUUAGAUUAUUUCAGUCUUAUUGGUUUGGAGUGUGCCACUUCUUAGUUUUUUUUUAAUUUGAUGCCACUUCAGUAAAUUAAACAAUGACAUCUCCAAUGCAUAUGCUACUUCUUUACUUCAAACUAUAGCAUGUGUUUUUAGUUUCAUCGAUUUUGAAUUAUGAGAGUCACUCACUCACUCACCAAUUCUGCUUGAUCCCUUACUCCUUGGCGCUCAGCAGGAAGAGCUCAGGCUGCCACCACACAAAUGGAUUUGUGGUGUUUCAAGUUAUGGCCAAUUAGUCUUGGUUUGGGAAAAUAAUAAGUACUGAUUAUGAUUAAUGACGCAUGAUAAAGUUUGUUACAAGUGUGUCCCUUUCUUCCUGUGUAUAUUUCAAAGUGGUACAAUGCAGCAUGCCAGCAUUUAUUUUUUUAUCAUCCUUUAGGAAGGAAGAAUUGCCUGCAUUCAGUUUUUUUUAUCAUCCUUUAGCUGGGAAGAAUUGUCUGGUUUCAAGGUUCCCUAUAUGCAUGCCAAGAAAAUGUUUAUGGAGCUAACUUCUAUGUUGUCAAAUGCAGAGUGACAGUUACCAAAUCAUAGUUUAUAUGUACAUCGACCAGCCUUUUAUGGAGCUAACUUCUAUUUUCUCAUGCAAGUCGUCCUAUCUUUGCAAGCCUACUGAUAUAAUACACUCAAGAUAGGGCGCCACAUGUUUAAGCUGUCACUCCUAUCUUUAUAAGCUUAUAGGAAGCAAACAUUUUCAUUAUCUUCGGCACUUAUAAUGUCAUUAUAUUAACUUAUGCAGCGGAGUAUUAAAAUCAGAACGGGCAAAUAAAUGUCUCUACUAUGACAAAAUGAAGAGAAAAUGUAUGCAUCGAAUUACUAAUGGAGUGGUUUCGAUGGGAACUGAAACCUCUUUCAAAGUUGGACACCGAUAUGAACUGUGAGUAUUUAAUAGAGAAAUUUAGUUCACAUGAAGCAAAAGAAAGGCAUGCAGUACCUUACAUUGACAGUGGUUAUUAGCCCAUUGUGGUGCUUUAAAUCCGAUAAAGAAUAUAUUUCAUGACCAAGAGAUGGAAUUUGGAGAAUCUUAGUUCUGAUAUGUACAUGAAUCUUCUUUUAUUUUGUCGCACAACUGAGUGUUCUAAUAUGGGACUAUUUGUUCUGUGUAUCUCUUAUAAAUGUAUCUCUUAUAAAUAAUGAAAUGGACUAUAGGUAAAAGAAUUCCUAUUUUAAUUA